GCUGGGGGUGGUAUCGUGCGCCUGUAAUCUAAGCUACUCAGGAGGCUGAGGCAGGAGAAUCGCUUGAACCCAGGAGGCAUGGAGGUUGCAGUGAGCCGAGAUUGCGCCACUGCACUCCAGCCUGGGCGAUAGAGCGAGACUCUGUCUCAA
ensembl:misc_RNA Metazoa_SRP Metazoan signal recognition particle RNA